rnacentral:rRNA from 2 species
UGGGGAAUAUUGGACAAUGGGCGCAAGCCUGAUCCAGCCAUGCCGCGUGAGUGAUGAAGGCCCUAUGGUUGUAAAGCUCUUUCACCGGUGAAGAUAAUGACGGUAACCGGAGAAGAAGCCCCGGCUAACUUCGUGCCAGCAGCCGCGGUAAUACGAAGGGGGCUAGCGUUGUUCGGAUUUACUGGGCGUAAAGCGCACGUAGGCGGACUUUUAAGUCAGGGGUGAAAUCCCGGGGCUCAACCCCGGAACUGCCUUUGAUACUGGAAGUCUUGAGUAUGGUAGAGGUGAGUGGAAUUCCGAGUGUAGAGGUGAAAUUCGUAGAUAUUCGGAGGAACACCAGUGGCGAAGGCGGCUCACUGGACCAUUACUGACGCUGAGGUGCGAAAGCGUGGGGAGCAAACAGG